AGGAUAGAUGGGUGAGUCUCGCCUGUGCGACGUGACUUUCAGAGUUCCAUUCAUGGCUGCAGGGUCAACCAACUUGUUGUCGGGACCCCGGAGCUGAAUGGCUUUCCUCGCUGUCGACCCUCGGCUCAGCCCAGAAGUACAGGAAAAGCAGAAGCUGGUUCCAGGCAAACCAACGCUCCCCACUCCGAAGAGUCGGGGGUUGUUAGCCCUUUCCCAGAAAGCCUGACACCCGUGUCUUUAGUUCAGCAGCCACACUAGUCGCUUUUAACUGGCC
rnacentral:lncRNA from 10 species